rnacentral:rRNA from 1 species
GGGUUGUGAGGUUAAGCGAACAAGCGUACACGGUGGAUGCCCUGGCAGUCAGAGGCGAUGAAGGACGUGCUAAUCUGCGAAAAGCGCCGGUAAGGUGAUAUGAACCGUUAUAACCGGCGAUGUCCGAAUGGGGAAACCCGGUGCACUUCGGUGCAUCAUCGUUAGCUGAAUACAUAGGCUAACGAGGCGAACCGGGGGAACUGAAACAUCUAAGUACCCCGAGGAAAAGAAAUCAACCGAGAUUCCCCCAGUAGCGGCGAGCGAACGGGGAACAGCCCAGAGCCUGAAUCAGCUUGUGUGUCAGUGGAACGGUCUGGAAAGGCCGGCGAUACAGGGUGACAGCCCCGUACACGAAGGCACACAGGCUGUGAGCUCGAUGAGUAGGGCGGGACACGUGAUAUCCUGUCUGAAGAUGGGGGGACCAUCCUCCAAGGCUAAAUACUCCUGACUGACCGAUAGUGAACCAGUACCGUGAGGGAAAGGCGAAAAGAACCCCGGCGAGGGGAGUGAAACAGAACCUGAAACCGUGUACGUACAAGCAGUGGGAGCCUUCGUAAGAGGGUGACUGCGUACCUUUUGUAUAAUGGGUCAGCGACUUAUAUUCUGUAGCAAGGUUAACCGUAUAGGGGAGCCGAAGGGAAACCGAGUCUUAAUUGGGCGUUAAGUUGCAGGGUAUAGACCCGAAACCCGGUGAUCUAGCCAUGGGCAGGUUGAAGGUUGGGUAACACUAACUGGAGGACCGAACCGACUAAUGUUGAAAAAUUAGCGGAUGACCUGUGGCUGGGGGUGAAAGGCCAAUCAAACCGGGAGAUAGCUGGUUCUCCCCGAAAGCUAUUUAGGUAGCGCCUCGUGAACUCAUCUCCGGGGGUAGAGCACUGUUUCGGCUAGGGGGCCAUCCCGGCUUACCAACCCGAUGCAAACUGCGAAUACCGGAGAAUGUUAUCACGGGAGACACACGGCGGGUGCUAACGUCCGUCGUGAAGAGGGAAACAACCCAGACCGCCAGCUAAGGUCCCAAAGUCAUGGUUAAGUGGGAAACGAUGUGGGAAGGCCCAGACAGCCAGGAUGUUGGCUUAGAAGCAGCCAUCAUUUAAAGAAAGCGUAAUAGCUCACUGGUCGAGUCGGCCUGCGCGGAAGAUGUAACGGGGCUAAACCAUGCACCGAAGCUGCGGCAGCGACGCUUAUGCGUUGUUGGGUAGGGGAGCGUUCUGUAAGCCUGUGAAGGUGUGCUGUGAGGCAUGCUGGAGGUAUCAGAAGUGCGAAUGCUGACAUAAGUAACGAUAAAGCGGGUGAAAAGCCCGCUCGCCGGAAGACCAAGGGUUCCUGUCCAACGUUAAUCGGGGCAGGGUGAGUCGACCCCUAAGGCGAGGCCGAAAGGCGUAGUCGAUGGGAAACAGGUUAAUAUUCCUGUACUUGGUGUUACUGCGAAGGGGGGACGGAGAAGGCUAUGUCGGCCGGGCGACGGUUGUCCCGGUUUAAGCGUGUAGGCUGACUUUCCAGGCAAAUCCGGAAGGUUAAGGCUGAGGCGUGAUGACGAGGCACCACGGUGCUGAAGUGACAAAUGCCCUGCUUCCAGGAAAAGCCUCUAAGCAUCAGGUAACAUCAAAUCGUACCCCAAACCGACACAGGUGGUCAGGUAGAGAAUACCAAGGCGCUUGAGAGAACUCGGGUGAAGGAACUAGGCAAAAUGGUGCCGUAACUUCGGGAGAAGGCACGCUGACAUGUAGGUGAAGCCCCUGCGGGUGGAGCUGAAGUCAGUCGAAGAUACCAGCUGGCUGCAACUGUUUAUUAAAAACACAGCACUGUGCAAACACGAAAGUGGACGUAUACGGUGUGACGCCUGCCCGGUGCCGGAAGGUUAAUUGAUGGGGUUAUCGCAAGAGAAGCUCCUGAUCGAAGCCCCGGUAAACGGCGGCCGUAACUAUAACGGUCCUAAGGUAGCGAAAUUCCUUGUCGGGUAAGUUCCGACCUGCACGAAUGGCGUAAUGAUGGCCAGGCUGUCUCCACCCGAGACUCAGUGAAAUUGAACUCGCUGUGAAGAUGCAGUGUACCCGCGGCAAGACGGAAAGACCCCGUGAACCUUUACUACAGCUUGACACUGAACAUUGAGCCUUGAUGUGUAGGAUAGGUGGGAGGCUUUGAAGCGUGGACGCCAGUCUGCGUGGAGCCGACCUUGAAAUACCACCCUUUAAUGUUUGAUGUUCUAACCUGGCGCCGUGAUCCGGCGUGGGGACAGUGUCUGGUGGGUAGUUUGACUGGGGCGGUCUCCUCCCAAAGUGUAACGGAGGAGCACGAAGGUCAGCUAAUCCUGGUCGGACAUCAGGAGGUUAGUGCAAUGGCAUAAGCUGGCUUGACUGCGAGAGUGACGGCUCGAGCAGGUGCGAAAGCAGGUCAUAGUGAUCCGGUGGUUCUGUAUGGAAGGGCCAUCGCUCAACGGAUAAAAGGUACUCCGGGGAUAACAGGCUGAUACCGCCCAAGAGUUCAUAUCGACGGCGGUGUUUGGCACCUCGAUGUCGGCUCAUCACAUCCUGGGGCUGAAGUAGGUCCCAAGGGUAUGGCUGUUCGCCAUUUAAAGUGGUACGCGAGCUGGGUUUAGAACGUCGUGAGACAGUUCGGUCCCUAUCUGCCGUGGGCGCUGGAGAAUUGAGGGGGGCUGCUCCCAGUACGAGAGGACCGGAGUGGACGCAUCACUGGUGUUCGGGUUGUCAUGCCAAUGGCACUGCCCGGUAGCUAAAUGCGGAAGAGAUAAGUGCUGAAAGCAUCUAAGCACGAAACUUGCCCCGAGAUGAGUUCUCCCUGAGACUGUAAGUCUCCUGAAGGAACGUUGAAGACGACGACGUUGAUAGGCCGGGUGUGUAAGCGCAGCGAUGCGUUGAGCUAACCGGUACUAAUGAACCGUGAGGCUUAACCUUACAACGCCAAAGAAGU